GCUCAGAACGAACGCUGGCGGCGUGGAUAAGACAUGCAAGUCGAACGAGAGAAUUGCUAGCUUGCUAAUAAUUCUCUAGUGGCGCACGGGUGAGUAACACGUGAGUAACCUGCCCCCGAGAGCGGGAUAGCCCUGGGAAACUGGGACUAAUACCGCAUAGUAUCGAAAGAUUAAAGCAGCAAUGCGCUUGGGGAUGGGCUCGCGGCCUAUUAGUUAGUUGGUGAGGUAACGGCUCACCAAGGCGAUGACGGGUAGCCGGUCUGAGAGGAUGUCCGGCCACACUGGAACUGAGACACGGUCCAGACACCUACGGGUGGCAGCAGUCGAGAAUCAUUCACAAUGGGGGAAACCCUGAUGGUGCGACGCCGCGUGGGGGAAUGAAGGUCUUCGGAUUGUAAACCCCUGUCAUGUGGGAGCAAAUUAAAAAGAUAGUACCACAAGAGGAAGAGACGGCUAACUCUGUGCCAGCAGCCGCGGUAAUACAGAGGUCUCAAGCGUUGUUCGGAAUCACUGGGCGUAAAGCGUGCGUAGGCUGUUUCGUAAGUCGUGUGUGAAAGGCGCGGGCUCAACCCGCGGACGGCACAUGAUACUGCGAGACUAGAGUAAUGGAGGGGGAACCGGAAUUCUCGGUGUAGCAGUGAAAUGCGUAGAUAUCGAGAGGAACACUCGUGGCGAAGGCGGGUUCCUGGACAUUAACUGACGCUGAGGCACGAAGGCCAGGGGAGCGAAAGGGAUUAGAUACCCCUGUAGUCCUGGCAGUAAACGGUGCACGCUUGGUGUGCGGGGAAUCGACCCCCUGCGUGCCGGAGCUAACGCGUUAAGCGUGCCGCCUGGGGAGUACGGUCGCAAGAUUAAAACUCAAAGAAAUUGACGGGGACCCGCACAAGCGGUGGAGUAUGUGGCUUAAUUCGAUGCAACGCGAAGAACCUUACCUGGGCUUGACAUGUAAUGAACAACAUGUGAAAGCAUGCGACUCUUCGGAGGCGUUACACAGGUGCUGCAUGGCCGUCGUCAGCUCGUGUCGUGAGAUGUUUGGUUAAGUCCAGCAACGAGCGCAACCCCUGUUGCCAGUUACCAGCACGUGAAGGUGGGGACUCUGGCGAGACUGCCCAGAUCAACUGGGAGGAAGGUGGGGAGGACGUCAGGUCAGUAUGGCCCUUAUGCCCAGGGCUGCACACGUACUACAAUGCCCAGUACAGAGGGGGCGGAAGCCGCGAGGCGGAGGAAAUCCUAAAAACUGGGCCCAGUUCGGACUGUAGGCUGCAACCCGCCUACACGAAGCCGGAAUCGCUAGUAAUGGCGCAUCAGCUACGGCGCCGUGAAUAAGUUCCCGGGUCUUGCACA
rnacentral:rRNA from 1 species